AACGCGAAGAACCUUACCAGGCCUUGACAUGCACUAGACCGGCGCUGAAAGGCGCCUUUCCUUCGGGACUAGUGCACAGGUGCUGCAUGGCUGUCGUCAGCUCGUGUCGUGAGAUGUUGCGUUAAGUCGCGCAACGAGCGCAACCCCUGUCCUUAGUUGCCAUCAGGUAAAGCUGGGCACUCUAGGGAGACAAACCCUCUCUGAGGGUGGGAAGGUGGGGAUGACGUCAAGUCAGGAUGGCCCUUACGGCCUGGGCUGCACACGUGCUACAAUGCCCGGUACAGAGGGAAGCAAGACCGCGAGGUGGAGCAAAUCCUCAAAACCGGGCCCAGUUCAGAUUGCAGUCUGCAACUCGACUGCAUGAAGCCGGAAUCGCUAGUAAUGGCGUAUCAGCUACGACGCCGUGAAUACGUUCCCGGGCCUUGUACACACCGUGUCGA
rnacentral:rRNA from 1 species